GUCAGGAAGCAAGAGUUAGAACUGGACAUGGAACAACAGACUGGUUCCAAAUAGGAAAAGGAGUAUGUCAAGGCUGUAUAUUGUCACCCUGCUUAUUUAACUUAUAUGCAAAGUACAUCAUGAGAAACGCUGGGUUGGAAGAAACACAAGCUGGAAUCAAGAUUGCCGGGAGAAAUAUCAAUCACCUCAGAUAUGCAGAUGACACCACCCUUAUGGCAGAAAGUGAAGAGGAACUAAAAGCCUCUUGAUGAAAGUGAAAGAGGAGAGUGAAAAAGUUGGCUUAAAGCUCAACAUUCAGAAAACGAAGAUCAUGGCAUCUUGUCCCAUCACUUCAUGGGAAAUAGAUGGGGAAACAGUGGAAACAUUGUCAGACUUUAUUUUUGGGGGCUCCAAAAUCACUGCAGAUGGUGACUGCAGCCAUGAAAUUAAAAGACACUUACUCCUUGGAAGAAAAGUUAUGACCAACCUAGACAGCAAGGAGACCUAACCAGUCCAUUCUGAAGGAGAUCAGCCCUGGAAUUUUUUUGGAAGGGAUGAUGCUAAAGCUGAAACUCUAGUACUUUGGCCACCUCAUGUGAAGAGUUGACUCAUUGGAAAAGACUGUGAUGCUGGAAGGGAUUGGGGGCAGGAGGAGAAGGGGACGACAGAGGAUGAGAUGGCUGGAUGGCAUCACUGACUCGAUGGACGUGAGUCUGAGUGAACUCUAGGAGUUGGUGAUGGACAGGGAAGCCUGGCAUGCUAUGAUUCAUGGGGUCACAAAGAGUCAGACACGACUGAGCGACUGAACUGAACUGAGGUCCCUCAUUGUUGAAGGGACAUUGUGGUGUUGAAAUGGAAUUGGAGGUUGACAAUUAAAUGUGUGUGUGUGUGAGCAUGCAUGCAUAAUGUGGGGAAAUCCCACGUGACAAGGAAAUGCAGGCAGCUUUUAAGAGCUGUGGGCAGCAUCCAGCUGAUAGCCUACAAGGAGCUCCAGCCACCAAGAAAAUUAAUUCUUCGGUAUUGUAACUGCAAGAUUAAGAACUAAAGUGAACUCAAAAGCAGCUAUUUCUCCAGUCACACCUCAAAUGAGACCACAACCACAAUUCCAGCCAAUAAACUGAUUGCACCCUUAUGAGAUGCUAAGCAGUAGACAUCUUCAUAAUCAACAUCUUAAUAACACCGAGUCCUAUAUCUAUUAAUCAAAAACUCUUUCAUGUCCUGGCUCCUCCGUUAUCUCCUUGGAAUAGUCCUUCUGAGCUAUUUGAGAGGAUGUGUCCUAGGCGAUGAACUUCUCUAGCGGCUCUGAUGGUAAAGAAUCUGCCUGCAAUGCAGGAGACCAGUUCGCUCCUUGGGUCAGGAAGAUCCCCUGGACAAGGGAAUGACAACCUGCUCCAGCAUUCUUGCCUGGAGAAUUCCACGAACAGAGGAGCCUGGUGGACUACAGUCCAUGGGGUCACAAAGAGUUGGAGACAACUGGGUGACUAACACUUUCACGUUUCAUCCUAAGCUAUAGUCCUUAGUAAGGCCAAUGAAUAAAAUGUAAUUCUCAACUUUUAGGUUGCACAUUUUUUUUUAGUAGAAAGAAGCAAUUUAAGGGUUUGCCCUUGAUCACACCAGGGUGUAAAUAGAGGAUGAAGGGAUCGUGGAGGCCACCUCAAGAAUCCACCUAGAAUAAUAUUGUAGAAUAAGGUGCAGUGAUUGGGACAUGACGUGUUCAGUAGCUAUUUGUUGGGUCAAUUUCAAGAAAUGUGGGCUUUCCAAAGAGUAUUUUGGCAGUUGUUUUUGUCAGUCGUUCAGUCUUUGUGACUGUGGACUGCAGCACACCAGGCUCUUCUGUCCUCCACUCUCUCCCAGGCUUUGCUCAAAUUCCUGUCCAUUGAGUCAGCGAUGCUAUCUAAUCAUCUCAGCCUCUGCUGCCCCCUUCUCCUUUUGCCUUCAGUCUUUCCCAGCAUCAGGGUCUUUUCCAAGGAGUCAGCUUUUUGCAUCAGGUGGCCAA
ensembl:lncRNA